CACUAGGUGGUGCUGGCAACAGCCUUACGUUAGGUGGCGGUUAAUCGCAUACGUGUAUCUGUGGGUAGUUUACAUUUUCCUUUUCUGACGGUGCACGCUGAAGGUCCUCUCAUAUUAGGAAUCUACGCAUUUGAACUGAAAACGUAAAUAGAAACUCGCGUGAAAGGUUUUCUGUCACCAGAUCUGCCACGCCGAAGCAAUUGUAACAUCAUAUAUCAUACCCUGCACAUCAAUAAGCAAACUUUUAAAUGGGAUGAACCUCGGAAACAGCUAAUUAUCAUUUCUUUUGAGUACCAUUAGUCGUAGUGUUCUUUCUAUUGGCACAUGGACUACAUACUACUGUCAGAUGUAAGCAUGUUGCAGAUGGUAGAUGCAGUGCCAACUGGAUUGUGUUGCAUUAUCAUCAAACCCAUACCCAAGAAGCUAUAAGGAAAGUAAAGCAGUCUCCAGAAAAUCUGUGCAAUACUUUGUUCAAUUUGGGGCAAAUGAAUGUAACAAGCAGAACAAAUGGCACCAUCGAGGAGGUUAAACAACCAUAUUGCAAAACAAACAUGCAUUGCACAUAAGCCAGUGGGUCCUGUUGUAUAAAUAUCAUUCUCACAGAAGCUUCUAGCUGACCAGAAUGGUGUUGGCUUUCCUAACAUGUUCUAACAAAUCCCAUACUAUCCCGUGCAUUCAAUGUUGUUGGAUAACAUUCUCUCUAACAUUCAUUCAAUCAAAAUCUUUCUUCUUUGUGAUAAAGAUAUGAUGAAAAUGGUGUGGAAAUGUUGAAGCUAGAGUACAAUAAACUCAAAACUUGUUCA